rnacentral:rRNA from 2 species
CGUGUAGGCGGGAUGACAAGUCAGAUGUGAAAUGCCAGGGCUUAACUCUGGAGCUGCAUUUGAAACUGUUAUUCUUGAGUAUCGGAGAGGCAGGCGGAAUUCCUAGUGUAGCGGUGAAAUGCGUAGAUAUUAGGAGGAACACCAGUGGCGAAGGCGGCCUGCUGGACGACAACUGACGCUGAGGCGCGAAAGCGUGGGGAGCAAACA